rnacentral:rRNA from 1 species
AUGCUUCAUGCUAGUGUGACUUCCCCAUGCGAUGAUUUACCCAUUUAUGAUGAGUUUGAUGAUUGCCAUGCGGAGUCUAGUAGUUGUGAUGCCAUGUUACAUAGAAUUUCUUGUGAUAAUUCUCUUGGUCACAUCAUGUUUCAUAAUCCACUUGGCUUGUCAUAUGCUAUGCAUGAGAUCAAUCAUAUGUCUUAUUUGCAAUCUCUUCAUAGUGACUAUGCAUAUGCCAUCAACAUAAACCCAAUUUGCACAUAUGGCAUAGAUGACAAGCCCAUGGUUAUUGGCAUUUGUUUUUCUUGUGACGACAUUGAUAUGCUUCCUUUGCAUCAUUUAUCUCAUAUGCCAUGCCAUGACCACCUAGCUUUGGAUAUGCAUUGUUUUGGUUGUUGUCAAUAUUCUCAAUGUGAUGUUUCCACUAUUGCUCACGAGGAGACCCCCAUAGUUUCCUCAUACAUUUUAGGAGAUUUUGAUUCAUCCUAUCCAUUGCAUGAUCCCAAUACUUUUGUGCACAAUAUGCUUCCCAUGAAUAAACAUGCUAUUGAUGUGCCAUAUACUUCUAUGCUAAAUUUGCAUCCCCAUCGUGUCAUACACAAUAACUAUUCUUUCAUGAUGGAUGACAUGUUCUUAUACCAUGCAUCAAAUUUCUUUGAGCGAUGCUAUUCUUGUGCUAACUCACAUGUGCACAUACACGUCAUGAUGGAUGAUGUGUACAUUUACCACGCGCACAAUUUCUUUGGUUUGUGUUUAUUUUGUGUAGGUACACAUGAAUACUUGUCAACCUCGCAAUUCCACGAGUUGACAAAACGAGCUCUAGAGAGCAACGAUGGCUUUGGAUCCCUUGGAGUGUCUUUCCCACCGCUUUCUUCGCGCAAGGACUUUCCACAUUUCUUCUACAUGGCUCUCACAUGGUUAUGGGUUAUUUACCACUUCUCACUAUAUGCCCAUCUUGCCAUGUUCACUUUGCAUGAUAUGCUCAUUCCUAUGCCUUUGCCAUGCAUUUGUGAACCAUGCUUUGCAUUACACAUGAUGAUUGAUCCUACUACUUGUAUGUGUAUUUGCAAGCUUGGUGGAGAUAUUGCUUGUUAUUGCCAUGUUUGCUAUGUGCCCCAUGCCUACAAUGACACUAUGAUCUUGCUUUGUGUUCGUGCUCGCGAUAUGUCAUGUGCAUUGCCUAUAUCUCUUAUUUGCUCACAUGACAUGAUUGCCAUGAUUUACUCUAGUGUGUUGCAUCUUCGCUCCACUAGUUUGCACGGCUUGAUUUCUAUGCUUGCUCAUGUUGCAUCCAAUUCUUGGAUUACUUGCUCCUAUCUUAUGUUUGGUUGCAACAUUGACAUUACUUCACAUAUGCCAUGUCCCAUUGCUUGUCACAUGAUUGAUUUGAUUGCCUCACACAUGAUGAACAAUUGCUAUAUCAUUUGUGUUGAGUGCCACACUUUCUUCACUACACCAUAUGCACAUUAUGCUUGGAUUGUCUUGCACUUGCAUGUGUUUAGACAUAUCAUUUUCUUUGGUGUUGUGGAUGAUUCUUAUGCAUACCAUAGACCAUUUAUCGAGCACUUUAUGCAUGUUUGCUAUGAUCUUGAGGUCGAUGUUUGCUAUCUUGUCAAACAUAUUUGCAUCGCUACCUCACAUUUCCAUGCUUGUUUCCAUGAUGUCCUUGAUUGUGCUAAGUUUAUGUGCUUACAUGCCAUGCCACACUCCCUUGUCACACCAUAUGCUAUGCUUGAUGACAACACUUGUUUGGUUACUCACCUCUUGAAUGCUUGGUUUUGCUCUAAUGCUAACCGCAUUUGUUUUUCCAAGUGUUUGUUCUACUCGUUCCUUUUGAAGGAAUCACAAGACGGUGCGACAUUGGAGAGUGACCAUUUCGAGCUUCAAUAUGACAAGUGCUUGGUGGUUGUCCACUUCUACACGAAAACGCCUUCUCUUCCCCAUGGUGAUGAAGAUCACGAUCCGUGGACGGAUCUCUCCCAAGGGGGGGAAGAUGAUGCGGAGCAUCCCUCGACCAUCCCCAUGGAUGUCACACCGCCACCGCAAGCAUGGAGAGGACCUACGACGAGAGCUCACGCACGCGACAUCGGAACCGAGGUGAACUCUUUCCUCUUUGAGUUUCAUUCGGAUUCACACGAGAGUCGGGUUCUACCUCAAAUGGAUACAUUAUGCACUCGUAGGUACCAAGGAGAAGAUCGUGAAGAGGCAAGGACGGAGACACAAGCAACUAUGGAGGAGAAGAACGAGGAGAACCGGAGUCCCCUGGACACACCGGGUGCCCGCCCCCCACAGCCCCGGGUGCCCGGCCCCUCCACCUGGGCGCACCUCGGGUGCCCGGCCUCCCAGCCCCGAGUGCCCGGCCCUCCUCCUCCCAGGCGACGCCCCGGGUUCCCGGGCUCUCAAACCCCGGGUGCCCGGCCCCUGCCCCAGCCGCCAGCCACCGCACCCCGGGUGCCCGGGCCCUUGGCCCCGGGUGCCCGGGCCACCUCCCGUGCAGGCCCAGUACGCCCCCGGGUGCCCGGGCUUUGA